rnacentral:rRNA from 1 species
AAGCUCAGAUAUGUGCUCCAGAUUCACUUUGACUCCUCCAACAAUGAGGCAGAAUACGAGGCCCUCCUGUAUGGGUUGCGCAUGGCCAUUUCACUCGGCGUCCGUCGCCUAAUGGUCUAUGGUGACUCGGAUUUAGUGGUCAAUCAGGUGAUGAAAGAGUGGGACGUGAGAAGCCCAGCCAUGACUGGAUACUGCAGUGCAGUGAGGAAGCUGGAGAAAAAGUUCGAGGGGUUGGAACUCCAUCAUAUACCCCGACUGAAAAAUCAAGCAGCUGACGAUCUAGCAAAGAUAGGUUCCAAGAGAGAAGCCAUUCCGAGUGGUGUGUUCUUGGAGCAUAUACAUACUCCAUCAGUCAAAGAAGAUCCUUUCACCGAAGAAACUCCGCAGCCCAAGAGUGCCACAGAUCCGACUGAAGUUGAAGUCCCAGCGGUGGUCGACUUGAUCAUGGAGGUUUUGGUAGUCAUUCCCGAC